UACGGAGGAUGCAAGCGUUGUCCGGAUUCAUUGGGUUUAAAGGGUGCGUAGGCGGAGAUUUAAGUCAGUGGUGAAAGCUUACAGCUUAACUGUAAAAAUGCCAUUGAAACUGAUUUUCUUGAGUUCGAUUGAGGUAGAUGGAAUGUAUCAUGUAGCGGUGAAAUGCUUAGAUAUGAUACAGAACACCGAUUGCGAAGGCAGUCUACUAAGUCGAAUACUGACGCUGAGGCACGAAAGCAUGGGGGAGCAAACAGG
rnacentral:rRNA from 1 species